UACGUAGGCAGCAAGCGUUGUUCGGAAUUACUGGGCGUAAAGAGUGUGUAGGCGGUGCUCUAAGUCUGUUGUGAAAUCUCCCGGCUUAACCGGGAGGGUGCGGCGGAAACUGGAGUGCUUGAGGGUGGGAGAGGUAAGCGGAAUUCCUGGUGUAGCGGUGAAAUGCGUAGAUAUCAGGAGGAACACCUGUGGUGUAGACAGCUUACUGGACCGCUUCUGACGCUGAGACACGAAAGCGUGGGUAGCAAACAGG
rnacentral:rRNA from 1 species